GAAACAGGUGCUAAUACCGCAUAACCAUAGUUACCGCAUGGUAGCUAUGUAAAAGGUGGCUAUGCUACCGCUUUUGGAUGGGCCCGCGGCGCAUUAGCUAGUUGGUGGGGUAAAGGCUUACCAAGGCAAUGAUGCGUAGCCGAACUGAGAGGUUGAUCGGCCACAUUGGGACUGAGACGCGGCCCAAACUCCUACGGGAGGCAGCAGUAGGGAAUCUUCCACAAUGGGCGAAAGCCUGAUGGAGCAACGCCGCGUGGGUGAAGAAGGUCUUCGGAUCGUAAAACCCUGUUGUUAGAGAAGAAAGUGCGUGAGAGUAACUGUUCACGUUUCGACGGUAUCUAACCAGAAAGCCACGGCUAACUACGUGCCAGCAGCCGCGGUAAUACGUAGGUGGCAAGCGUUAUCCGGAUUUAUUGGGCGUAAAGGGAACGCAGGCGGUCUUUUAAGUCUGAUGUGAAAGCCUUCGGCUUAACCGGAGUAGUGCAUUGGAAACUGGGAGACUUGAGUGCAGAAGAGGAGAGUGGAACUCCAUGUGUAGCGGUGAAAUGCGUAGAUAUAUGGAAGAACACCAGUGGCGAAAGCGGUUCUCUGGUCUGUAACUGACGCUGAGGUUCGAAAGCGUGGGUAGCAAACAGGAUUAGAUACCCUGGUAGUCC
rnacentral:rRNA from 1 species